GUUGAAAAAAAAUGUGUGCCACAUUUAAGAGAGCCAGUUGUGACUUAGAGAAAGAGUGGACAGAAUUAUUAGACUUGUGCAUGAUCAGACACAGAUUCACAGUAUGCACAGAGUACUGUACAGACACUUAGACAAUGUAUACACACAAUCACACAUUGCUAAACACACACACAAAAACUAUACAAACACUACACACUCAUUCAGACAGAAACACAUUGCCUCUAUACCUUAUAUACACACAAUACAAUUCUACACCCAGAGCUAGCACUACCAUCAGGCGGCACAAGGGGGGGGGGGGGUAAAAUGCCUAGGUGACCGGCAGGAGGUGAGCGCAUAGUACUCCUUUCCUGCCAGUCGCUUUAUGUAGUGUGGCCGAACUUUGCCAGCACCUCUGUCCAUCUUAGCCUUCGGCUUUGGUGCAUGCCGCAGGCUGUGUGCAGGAGUUAGGGAUACGAAUCACGUCACAGCCCUGUUGCUUGUUUACCACACAGCCCGGUGGCACUUUAGUGAUGGGGAUUAAGACUCCACAGAGCCGGACAGCAUGCUCCCCGGGCAAAUGAUUGCAUAGGGCUGAGAUGUUCGUAAUAAUUGUGACUCCAUGUAUGACUGUAUGCCUGAUUCUGACUGUCUGUGUAUGUAAGUGUCGGUAUAUCUGUGUAUGACAGUGUUUGUAUGACUGUGUCAAUAUGACCGCGUAUUUUUUUUUUCUGCAAUAGAGGAGAACAGUGCACACAUUAAAGAAAGGGGGAAUACUCCUACCAAGGCGCCCGAGAGAGGGAGGGCAAGUUCCCCAAAAUGUCCAGUGGAAACAAAAUGGUUUAGAGCGUCACCUGAUUGCCAGAUUAUUGCUACAUUCCAUGAAAUGUUAGGGGUGAAUUAUACACAGUUAGACAUUAAAAGAACACUUCAGGCACCAUAACCACUACAUUGUGCACCUCGCCCCAGUGUUUGUAGUCAAAACAUAUUAGAACACUUGACUUCUUACUUUUGGGCAUUCAGUUGUGUCAUUUAACCUUUUAAUUUCUUAGAAUGCAGCAAUAAUCUUGCUAUAUAGUAUAUCCCAAAAUAUCACCCCAUGUAAUCAUCUACCCAAUGUAGUUUUUAAAAAAUCUUAUUUUAUUCCGUGCGCAGCCAAUCACUAGUUACAAACAACAAACACAGUGCUGAUUAGUGGGCUGUGGACACAUUUGUACUCUCACUGAUAAACACUCACACUAGAACGCACUCUCUUACAGACUUCUUUUGCUCCCCCUCCCCUCUCUAUGACUUUACAAGGAAUUGAUAGGUGAAGUCAGCGUUACAAAAGCAAGCAAGCAGCAACUGAAUCGCUCACAAAGAGCACAGUUCAGCUAAAAUAUUACCUUAACUCCUAGUUUGCCCGAAAGGGGGGGGAGAGGAGGACAGAGGUAUUAUUAUUAGCAUUUGUAUCGCACCAACUUAUUCCGCAAAGCUUCUCAAUAGCAUAAAGGGGGAAAUUUAACAAUAAAUGAGACAAUUUAAAAAUGUUACAUAAAC